rnacentral:tRNA from 1 species
GAUCGCGUGGUCCAGCGGCUAAGACGCCUGCGUGACAAGCAGGAGACCGAUGGUUCGAUUCCAUCCGUGAUCACC